UUAUGUGGCAGUCUAUCUAAAAGUUAUUAUUAAUUUUUAUUGCUGCAUGGAUUUAGAGAUUUGGAAGAAGAUAAAUUCCAAACAGACAUCCAUUACUAAACCGACAGUGUAGCUUAAAGAUAACAUUUACAUUCUUACGGUGUUGAUCUGUAUCUGAUCCCACUCAAUCUGCUCCCUGUUCAAACUUUUUGCCACCUUCAGAAGGAUCAAUACCUACAUCAAAGGUUAUAUGAAGGUGGCCAGAUUCUUUUAAGCUGUUUGCAUAGCCCUCAGUUUGCUGUGCUAACACAGGCUGGUACUUCUUCCAAUAACUCUGUUUGCCUUGUAUUAGGGCUGUUUGCUGAAACACCUAGCAGAAUCCAAUAGAGGACAGACUUUCUAAACAUUUGGUCACAUCUGUCAAUCAAUAACACCAAUCGGUUUCCUGAUACAAACAGCAAACUCUGCCAAAUCUAAUAUUUGCCCAAACUUUUACUGACUCUUGCUGGUUUAAAACAGUAAAAGGCACCGGAGCAGACAUCGGUGCGGAAAGGUUCUUGCUAAUAUUUAACCCUGGGCAAACAGAGAAUAAUUCCAGCAAUGGAAGGAGAGAAAACAAACAGUGUAAUUAUUGUCCCCUUUUUAUUGGAGAUAAUUUGCUUAAAUGUACAGCUAUUAUCUGCUAAUAUGGCCAGGUAUAAUUAGAAGGAGCAAAAUACAGGUUUGGCCGACGCGGCGCGGGUCUCAACUCUUGAACCUUGCCCCCUGCCCCCAUCGUGUUUAUGCAGGUGAUCUUGGAACAAACACACGCCGUUAUCAGCAAAUGGAAAACACCUGACUCAAAACCAAACAACAACAACAAAAAAGGGAAAUGUACUCACAGGUCUCCGGGCAAAUCUGGAUUGUGGAUUGAAAGCAAGAGGAACGAUGGGGAUGGAUGUUGUUCUGGAGCGGCUGCACGGCUGAGGUUGAUCCCAAGGGACAAAGCGAUGGAGAAGUUGCCAUCAGCCCAGGGUGAUUGGCACCGAAGGGGCUGGGCCAUCACAGCAAAGCAUCUCAAAGGUUGCUGUGGAUUAAGGAGAUUCUGGUACUGGGCUGGUGCUGCCCAAUGGCAGUGCUGCCCAUGGAAAUGAGGGACUGCUGCAAGAUGGAGGCCAAAGGAAUUUCUGGCAUGACUUAUGCUGGUAGAUCUCCGUCACUGCCAUGGCAAGAGCAGUAGCUUGCCUCUGCAAAGCAAUCUGCACCAUUGUCCUUUAUUUAGGAUACAACGUUGACCCAGACCUCAGAGGGCUUCCCAUAGGAUCCAGCCCGCUGUGGCCAAGGCAGAUGGCACAGGGUGGGGAACGACAUCAGGGAUGUGGGUGAAGGUGGAAAACCGCACUGCGAGUUAAUGGUGGGAGCUGCUUGCCUCUCAGGAGGUGAACUGACCUCAGAAAUGGGGAAGACACAAGAACCAGGAGCUGAUGGCUGUGCUGAGGAUGUGCGGUUGGAGGCAUCACCAGCCAACAGAGCACAGGGACAGGCACGGCUAUGAUGGGUGUGUGGGGAUGACCCCUUGGGAGCACUGAGUGCUUCCGUCCAUCAGAGGGAUAAAAUCCCACAGUGGGCACUGGGAUGGUGCAAAGAGAAAGCCCUGCGGGCUGCAGGUGGGAGAGCCUGAUUGCUGCACUCACUGCAUACCGUGAUGCAAGAUGCAGCAGCUGCAGCACGCCCUGUGCUCAAGGAAUCCCCUGCAGCCAUCCCUGGAGAUGCAAGGAUUUGUUCUUAAAACCACCAGAACACCCCCAAAUCAGAGCUGCGUGCAUUUUCCUGCAUGCAGCCCCCAUCUCUGUGUCAUGCACAGAUCAAUGCUGGGAUUUCCUUCCCCCCCAUCUUUUUCUUUGCCUCUGGCACAAAUUCCAGCAUUGGUUUAAUGUUCAUCAAGCAGCGUGAGACCUGAAAUGAAAGGUGCUACACAAGCAGAGGGCAGAAUUGAGAGCCUGCGAGAUGGGCUCUAUAGAAAUGCGUGUAUUAUAAUAAUGACAUUAAUAACAGGCUGUUGUUUGUCAUCGAGCAGAUCUGGGGCCCGGGCACGCCCAGAGCAGCUAAUAGUGAGCAGAGAGCUUCAGCCUGCACGCUGCUCCAGGAACAAUAGCAUGUAAUAACACCCAAAUUGCUCUCCAAAACCCUGGCGUGGUCCUCCUCAGGGCCUUUCCUGGGACACAAACAGCUGAGAACAGGGUUUCGUGGAAACCAGAUACCUGCUGUGCUCCAGCUUUUGUUGCUGGCUCGUGCUCUGUGAGUCAUCUAUUGCCUGAAUGCACUGUCUUCGUUUUUCUAUCCCCAAAAGGGGAGGGGAAUCUCUCGUCUUCUCUGCUGUUGGGGGACACCUGGAGCAGAAGGUGAUGGGUGGGUUUGGUGACCUCAGUCAUCAUUUCCAACCUUAGCGAUUCUGAUUCUGUGAUUCUAAGGUCCUUCCAUCACCCAGCCUCCAUCGUGGGGCUGGAGGAGCCCUCCUGGUCAGUGAUCCCCAACGCAGUACUGAUGGAUCACUAAAACUUGAUGUGUUAAUUAUCACAUCAACGUCUCUCCUUCACCGUACCUGCUUUCCACUUUUGCAUGCAGCUGUUUGUUGCUCCUCAGUAAUCAGUGCGUGCAGAAAUGCGGCUUCUGCCUCAUUUUUGGAGCUCUUGGAGGGAAUGCCUCCACGUGGAUGUAAUGUCCUGGAGCUUGGAUGCAGUGGUGACCUCCCUCAUGGCAUCAUAGACUCAUAGAAUCGUUAGGGCUGGAAAAGACCGCUAAGAUCACCACAUCCAACCGCCAGCUCUGCCUCUCCUCUCUAUCUGUUUCCCUGCCUCCUGAAGCAGAGGAGGAGGAACUUCCCAAUGUCAGCUUGAAGUACCAAACCCAGGGCUCGCAGUGAUAAUGUGGGGCUGGGGGUCCCACGCAGGGCUGCCCCGGGAGGAGCCGGCUGCUCGGUGUGCCAGACAGGCGCUGCUCUCUGCCUCUGCCUGCUGUGCACACACAGCUAUUUGUAUAAACUGAUGGAUGCACGUGGGAGGCGAGCGAGGCAAUCAGUCUGGCUCUGCAAUCUGGAAGGGAAGUGAAAUAUGUCUGUAAAGUUGGGUGUGAAUGGAGAGCAGUGACAAAUGCAGGCAGUUCAGGGAGCACGCUGCUGCAGGGGUGGGUGCCACAUGGGUUUGGAUUUGUAGGGUGGCAGCAUGGGAUGCUUGCAGCACUGAUGUCUGCUGUAGGAUGCCCAUACUUCUGCAUCAGCCACCAUAGAGUCCUUAAGGCUGGAAAAGGCCUCACCAAGUCAACCCAUCCCCGCCAUGCCAAGCCAUACAGUCACAGAAGCAUUAAGGUUGGUGAAGACCUCUCAGAUCCCCAACCCCAACCCAUCCCACCGUGCACACUGCCCACAUCCCUCAGUGCCACAUCCCCACGGUCCUGGAACACCCCUGGGGAUGGUGACCCCACCACUCUCUGGGCAGCUGUGCAGUGCAGCACUGCUCUUUUGGAGAAGAAAUAUUUCCUAACAUCCAACCUGAGCCACCCCUCGCGCAGCAUGAGGCCGUCACCUCAUGUCCUGUGGCUGUGACCUGGGAGAAGAGACCGAUACCCACCUCUCUACAACCACCUCGUCCCUUCCGCAGCGCUCUCGCCCUGCUUCCCCCCACAGAGGGGUCCCAUCCAUCCAUCCGUGUCUGCCCAUCCACUCCACAGCACGCACACGGCUGGGAGGAGCCUUGGCACAGGGCAGCACACACUGACCCCAGGCAGGGAACGAACCCCUGGGUCCUGCCCAAGGCGACGGGCAGCAACGGAACCGCUCUGUAGUGUUUGCUUUGCGCGAGUACACACUAACGCUGUAACCUUGGGUUGUUUGCACUAGCCAGGAGUGUCAUUGCCAGCGUUGCAUUCAACAGUUGUACUUGACUGAAUAAGCAGACGGUUUUUUUUCCCCCUCUGUCAUAAUGGCACUGUCCCACGGAGGGGCGAUGGAUUGCUUUUUCGGUUGCACAUGCUGUUAUCGCCGCGCUGUUCUAAUGCUAGUCAAACAGUACUGUGAAUAGCCAAACUCAAUAGCAGCAGUGUUAGGCUGGAAAGUCAAUAUUAGCUGAGCAAACAAAGCAAAUAAAGAGUUGCUAUUUGCGUAGCUAUGAGUAUUUGUAUGCUCUGCUGCUGAACAGGGUACUUUGAAAUAAUAAUUAAAAAAAUGUUGUUCUUCAAGGCAGGGAAUGUUUUUUAUUUGGGGUAGAGGAGUCAGCUUUUAUGAAAGGCAGCGUUCACUUCCCUGUGAGCAGCCCCACGAGCAUUGGCUGCUCCCUGCCCCAUAG
ensembl:lncRNA